AAUAUGGCACAAUGUGCGCAAGCCUGAUGCAGUCAGGCCGCUUGUAUGAAGUAGGCAUUCUGGUUGUAAAGUACUUUCAGCGGAGAAGAAGGGAGUAAAGUUAAUACCUUUGCUCAUUGACGAUACCAGUAGAAGAAGCACAGGCUAACUCCGUGCCAGCAGCCGCGGUAAUACGGAGGCUGCAAGCGUUAAUCGGAAUUACUGGGCGUAAAGCGCACGCAGGCGGUUUGUUAAGUCAGAUGUGAAAUCCCCGGGCUCAACCUGGGAACUGCAUCUGAUACUGGCAAGCUUGAGUCUCGUAGAGGGGGGUAGAAUUCCAGGUGUAGCGGUGAAAUGCGUAGAGAUCUGGAGGAAUACCGGUGGCGAAGGCGGCCCCCUGGACGAAGACUGACGCUCAGGUGCGAAAGCGUGGGGAGCAAACAGG
rnacentral:rRNA from 1 species